rnacentral:rRNA from 1 species
CCUACGGGGGCAGCAGUGGGGAAUAUUGGACAAUGGGCGAAAGCCUGAUCCAGCCAUGCCGCGUGUGUGAAGAAGGCCUUCGGGUUGUAAAGCACUUUCAGUGGGGAAGAAAGCCUUGGGGCUAAUACCCUCGAGGAAGGACAUCACCCACAGAAGAAGCACCGGCUAACUCCGUGCCAGCAGCCGCGGUAAUACGGAGGGUGCGAGCGUUAAUCGGAAUUACUGGGCGUAAAGCGCGCGUAGGCGGUCUGAUAAGCCGGUUGUGAAAGCCCCGGGCUCAACCUGGGAACGGCAUCCGGAACUGUCAGGCUAGAGUGCAGGAGAGGAAGGUAGAAUUCCCGGUGUAGCGGUGAAAUGCGUAGAGAUCGGGAGGAAUACCAGUGGCGAAGGCGGUCUUCUGGACUGACACUGACGCUGAGGUGCGAAAGCGUGGGUAGCAAACAGGAUUAGAUACCCCGGUAGUC